CCUCACAUCCUGAGCCCUCUGCAGAACCAGGGCUCUGCUGGACUAAACUUCUAAUUCUAACCUGUGUGGUCUCUGUCCUGAUGAACAUUGCCUGUGUGUGUGUGCUCUGUUGCAGGGUACAAGGUAUUGCAGGAUCCACACACGCAUGCAGCUGUAACAGCACCAGUACUGAGGAGUCAGUUCAGAAGGAACCAGCUGUGCACUAUGCCACCCUAGUACAUGAUGCACUGGUCCAAGACGUGGUUAAACUGCACACUGCACCUGCUUUGGACAGUGUCACUUAUGCAAAGGUCACAAAAGGUCACAUCAGUGCCCCAGUAUGAGGUGUCGCAGGUGUAUGGUUAACUAAACCCUGAGCAGGUACCUGGUUAACUAACUGGACUGCUGAAGUAACCAGCAGAAUACCAUGUAGACAAUUUAUAAAAAUAUAAAGUUAAAACUACAUUAAUUAAUUUUUAGUUAGAAAAAAAUGUUAGAUAAAAAAAUAAUUUUCCUUCUUAUAUGUGUAAAAGUUUUAGUUUGAUCAUUAGUGUCACAGUACCCCUGCUGGUAGAUAAAGGACGUUUAAAGACUUUCAUUGCUGACAGAAAUGUAUUAUAAUUACAUCUUUGCUGUGUGCUU